rnacentral:rRNA from 1 species
GACGAACGCUGGCGGCGUGCUUAACACAUGCCAGUCGAACGGAAAGACCCUGCUUUUGUGGGGUGCUCGAGUGGCGAACGGGUGAGUAACACGUGAGUAACCUGCCCUUGACUUUGGGAUAACUUCAGGAAACUGGGGCUAAUACCGGAUAGGAGCUCCUGCUGCAUGGUGGGGGUUGGAAAGUUUCGGCGGUUGGGGAUGGACUCGCGGCUUAUCAGCUUGUUGGUGGGGUAGUGGCUUACCAAGGCUUUGACGGGUAGCCGGCCUGAGAGGGUGACCGGCCACAUUGGGACUGAGAUACGGCCCAGACUCCUACGGGAGGCAGCAGUGGGGAAUAGUGCACAAUGGGCGGAAGCCUGAUGCAGCAACGCCGCGUGCGGGAUGACGGCCUUCGGGUUGUAAACCGCUUUCGCCUGUGACGAAGCGUGAGUGACGGUAAUGGGUAAAGAAGCACCGGCUAACUACGUG